rnacentral:lncRNA from 7 species
GUGAAGAGCAGAGCGGAGGGAAGGGCUGAGGGGAGGGCUGAAGGCAACCAAUGAUGAAAAAAGAAAGAAAAAAAUAAGAAAAAAAUUAAAAGAAAAAAAAGAAAAGAAAAAAUAAGAAAAAGAGAAAAAAAAGGAAAGAAAAAAAAAAUGAACAAAAAAAAAAAAAGAAAGAAAAAAAAAAAAAAAAGAAAAAAAGAGAAAAGAAAAAAAAUGAACAAAAAAAGAGAAAAAAAAGAAAAGAAAAAAAAUGAACAAAAAAGAGAAAAAGAAAAAGAAAAAAAAAAAAGAAAAAAGAGAAAGCUAAAAAAAGAAAAAAGAUAAAAAAGAAAAAGAGAGAAAAUAAAAAAAAAAAGGACAGAAAAAAUAAAAAAAAGAAAAAAGAAAAAAAGAAAAGAAAAAAAAUAGAUGAAAAAAGAGAAAACGAAAGGAAAAAGGUAACAAGAGAAGAAAGGGUAAAAGAGAAAAGAAGAAAACAGCAAGUCAAAAAGUAAAGAAUAACUCGAAGGAAGGAGUGGAUGGCAAGAAAUACAGGGAAAGCAAUGCAUAGCACAGCAAAGCAAAGCAAGGCAAAAUAGCAGCCAAAGCCACGAGAAUCAAGAAGUCAGUGAAGAGCAGGAAAGGAAUGGAGGAAUCUGUCCAGAGCUGUGCCCCUGCUUGCCACAGGAGCUGCGCGGGAGGAGAAGAACGUGGGCCAAAAGAGCUGUGCCCCUGCUUGCCACAGGAGCUGCGCGGGAGGAGAAGAACGUGGGCCAAAAGGUAAGAGGAGCUCCUUUGGGUUCUGGGCUUGAAGCAAAGCUGAGAAGCCAUGCCCGGGAGGAGGUGUGGGUAGCUACAGGCCACCUUGCUAUCUCCCCAAGAGAUGAGGUGUGUGGGCUAGGCACCGGGCAGGAGUGCUGGCCAGAAGCAAGCAUCUCUGUGGAGGAAGGCAAAGGGCGGAGGAGGUUCAAGGGUAGCUACCGGGCAUGGCCUUGCUCAGCAAGGGGAGGAAAAGCCUGAAGGGCACGAGAAGGGGAUAGAGAAGGGCAGGCAGUAGGCGUGAAGCUGCGAGCAGAGUAGAGAGCAACUUGGCAGAGCAGCAAGCAGAGUAGGCAAGUGUUGAGGUUUGGCGUGAGUAGCAGCAAAAGCCCAGAGCAUCAAGAAGCAGGAAGUGAGGAGAAGGUAAGUGAAGGGCAGGCAAGGUAAUGGGAGGCAAAGGCAAGGGGAAAGGGGGGGUAAGGGAGAAAGAAGGGAUGGGGAUGGGGAGGGGAUGGGUGAAGAGCAGAGCGGAGGGAAGGGCUGAGGGGAGGGCUGAAGGCAAACCUAUGAUGAAAAAAGAAAAGAAAAAAUAAGAACAAAAAAUAUGAAAAAGAGAAAAAAAAAAGAAAAAUAAGAAAAAGAGAAAAAAUGAAAAGAAAGAAAAAAAAGAAAAAAAAGAAAAAAGAAAAAAAAGAGAAAAAAGAGAAAAAGAAAAAGAAAAAAAGAGAAAAAAGAGAGAAAAAAAUGAACAAAAAAGAGAAAAAGAGAAAAGUAAAAAAAAAGAAAAAAGAAAAAAGAAAGAGAAAAUAGAAAUAAAAAGAGGACAGAAAAAUAUGAAAAAAAGAAAAAAGAAAAAAGAAAAGAAAAAAAAUAGAUGAAAAAAGAAAAAACAAAAGGAAAAAAUAAUGACAAGAGAAGAAAGGUAAAGAGAAAAGAAGAAAAA